CCAGACUCCUACGGGAGGCAGCAGUGGGGAAUAUUGCACAAUGGGCGAAAGCCUGAUGCAGCAACGCCGCGUGAGUGAUGAAGGCCUUCGGGUCGUAAAACUCUGUCCUCAAGGAAGAUAAUGACGGUACUUGAGGAGGAAGCCCCGGCUAACUACGUGCCAGCAGCCGCGGUAAUACGGGGGAUGCAAGCGUUAUCCGGAUUUAUUGGGUUUAAAGGGUGCGUAGGCUGUGAGGUAAGUCAGCGGUGAAAUGCCCCCGCUCAACGGGGUGAAGUGCCAUUGAUACUGCCUUGCUGGAAUGCGGAUGCCGUGGGAGGAAUGUGUGGUGUAGCGGUGAAAUGCAUAGAUAUCACACAGAACACCGAUUGCGAAGGCAUCUCACGAAUCCGCGAUUGACGCUGAUGCACGAAAGCGUGGGUAUCAAACAGGAUUAGAUACCCUAGUAC
rnacentral:rRNA from 1 species